rnacentral:rRNA from 1 species
AGCAGCCGCGGUAAUUCCAGCUCCAAUAGCGUAUAUUAAAGUUGUUGCAGUUAAAAAGCUCGUAGUUGAAUUUCGGGAUCAAUACGUCGGUCGUGCUUCGGUACGUACUGGUGUCAUUGAUUUCUCCCUUCUGACGAACCAUGAUGUCAUUAACUUGGUGUCAUGGGAAAUCAGGACUGUUACUUUGAAAAAUUAGAGUGUUUAAAGCAGGCUCACGCUUGAAUACAUUAGCAUGGAAUAAUGAAAUAGGACGUUCGAUCCUAUUUUGUUGGUUUCUAGGAUCAACGUAAUGAUUAAUAGGGAUAGUUGGGGGCAUUAGUAUUCAAUUGUCAGAGGUGAAAUUCUUGGAUUUAUUGAAGACUAACUACUGCGAAAGCAUUUGCCAAGGAUGUUUUCAUUAAUCAAGAACGAAAGUUAGGGGGUCGAAGACGAUCAGAUACCGUCGUAGUC